rnacentral:rRNA from 1 species
CUAGUAAGUUAAAAGUGAAAUACCAAAGCUUAACUUUGGAGCGGCUUUUAAUACUGCUAGACUAGAGGUCGAAAGAGGAUAGCGGAAUUCCUAGUGUAGAGGUGAAAUUCGUAGAUAUUAGGAGGAACACCAGUUGCGAAGGCGGCUAUC